AGCAUAUCAAUAAGCGGAGGAAAAGAAACUAACAAGGAUUCCCUUAGUAGCGGCGAGCGAACAGGGAUUAGCCCAAAACCGAAUCCUGUGGCGUAAGCUACUAGGAAAUGUGGUUUAUGGUACGUUACCAACAGUAUGUUGGAGUUGCUUCAAGUCCACUUGAUUGUGGCUUCGAGCCCAGAGAGGGUGAAAGGCCCGUACAAGCAACACAACGUAUUUAGGUGACGUACCUAGAGUCGGGUUGUUUGGGAUUGCAGCCCAAAUCGGGUGGUAAACUCCAUCCAAGGCUAAAUACAACACGAGUCCGAUAGUGAACAAGUACCAUGAGGGAAAGUUGAAAAGAACUUUGAAGAGAGAGUUCAAUAGUGCGUGAAACCGCUCAAGGAGAAACGGACAGAACUGAAGGAGGAGCGUCACAUUUGCAUUUCACUGCUCUCAUGUGUUGGAUGCUGAGACAGCUUAAACUGCUCGAUUUAACAUGUGUAGAACGGAGUUGUGCUAUUGUGUUGCGUUCUAACACCACGAUCAGUAAAGUAGAUGGCUUGCCAUUGGGUAGAAGGUGGCUCGGUUCGCUGAGUGUUAUAGCUACACUUUGCAACGCCAUCAAAAUACUGGUUUGCCAUUGACAUUGUAGCAAAUAUGGCCUUUGAUGGUAGGAAGAGGUGAAUAUGACUCAUUGAGAGAUAUAUGCAUCUUCGGAUCGCUGUUAAGGGUCCUCUAUGUGCUACAGCUCAAUCUGUGGUGCAAAUGUAAGUAAUCUGUCCGACCCGUCUUGAAACACGGACCAAGGAGUUUAACAUGUGCGCGAGUCACAGGGUUCUACGAAACCUAAAGGCGCAGUGAAAGUAAAGAUUUGCUCUUGUUGCAAGUCAAGGUAGGAUCUCGGUUCCAAUGUGUGUAUAACACAUGGGCUGGGCGCACUACCGGCUCGUCCCAUGCUUUAUUAAGUGGGGCGACGCAAGAGCGCACAUGUUGAGACCCGAAAGAUGGUGAACUAUGCUUGAGUAGGUUGAAGCCAGAGGAAACUCUGGUGGAGGACCGUAGCAAUUCUGACGUGCAAAUCGAUUGUCAAACUUGAGUAUAGCGGCGAAAGACUAAUCGAACCAUCUAGUAGCUGGUUCCCUCCGAAGUUUCCCUCAGGAUAGCUGGCACUCGGGAAACAAACAGUUUUAUCCGGUAAAGCGAAUGAUUAGCAGUAUUGGGGAUGACAUAUCCUCAACUGAUUCUCAAACUUUAAAUGGGUGAGAUGCUCUACUCUCUUAAUUGGAGUAGGGCUUUACUGAAUGUGAGUGCCUAGUGGGCCAUUUUUGGUAAGCAGAACUGGCGCUGUGGGAUGAACCAAACGUCUGGUUAAGGAGCCAAACAUAACGCUCAUGAGAUACCACAAAAGGUGUUGGUUGAUAUUGACAGCAGGACGGUGGCCMUGGAAGUUGGAAUCCGCUAAGGAGUGUGUAACAACUCACCUGCCGAAUCAACCAGCCCUGAAAAUGGAUGGCGCUGGAGCGUUGGUCCUAUACCAGACCGUUACCGUGAAUGGCAAUGUAUACGGUAACGAGUAGGAGGGCGCCGUGGUGAGCAUUGAAGCCUAUGCCGUGAGGUUAGGUGGAGCCGCCACGGGUGCAGAUCUUGGUGGUAGUAGCAAAUAUUCAAGUGAGAACCUUGAA
rnacentral:rRNA from 1 species